rnacentral:misc_RNA from 1 species
GGAAGUAAAAGCCGUAACAAGGUUUCCGUUGGUGAACCAGCGGAGGGAUCAUUAAAGAGUUCUAUAACUCCCAAACCCAUGUGAACAUACCUUACGUUGCCUCGGCAGGUCGUGCCUACCCCGUAGCGUCCUACCCUGUAGGACCUACCCGGUAGACGCGGGUAAGCCUGCCGGCGGCCCACGAAACUCUGUUUAGUAUUGAAUUCUGAACCUAUAACUAAAUAAGUUAAAACUUUCAACAACGGAUCUCUUGGUUCUG